rnacentral:rRNA from 1 species
UACGUAGGGUGCAAGCGUUGUCCGGAAUUAUUGGGCGUAAAGAGCUCGUAGGCGGUUUGUUGCGUCGGCUGUGAAAUCCCGAGGCUCAACCUCGGGUCUGCAGUCGAUACGAGCAAACUAGAGUGUUGCAGGGGAGGCUGGAAUUCCUGGUGUAGCGGUGAAAUGCGCAGAUAUCAGGAGGAACACCGAUGGCGAAGGCAGGUCUCUGGGCAUUAACUGACGCUGAGGAGCGAAAGCAUGGGGAGCGAACAGG